UACGUAGGCAGCGAGCGUUGUUCGGAGUUACUGGGCGUAAAGGGUGUGUAGGCGGUUGUUUAAGUUUGGUGUGAAAUCUCCCGGCUCAACCGGGAGGGUGCACCGAAUACUGAAUGACUUGGAGUGCGGGAGAGGAGAGUGGAAUUCCUGGUGUAGCGGUGAAAUGCGUAGAUAUCAGGAGGAACACCGGUGGUGUAGACGGCUCUCUGGACCGUAACUGACGCUGAGACACGAAAGCGUGGGUAGCAAACAGG
rnacentral:rRNA from 1 species